CUCCGGCUGCGGCGGCCGCGGCUGCAGCUCCGUCGGCGCCCCGCUCGGCGGCCUAGGGACGUGUCCAGCUCCGCUGGUCGGGGGCGGCUCUCUGCUGCUUCCGAGCCCGCCGUCCGGCCUUCCGCGAUUGCAGGCAGACCUACUCAGACUUGACGCACUGCCCUCCAGAAAUGAUGGGUGUCGCUGGACCCAGCCGGGACUCUGUCAGGCUCUGGCGUGCAGUCUGAGAGAAGGGCAUUCUUUUUAGCCCUGGCAUUCCUGCCUGUCAUGGCCACACUCGGCUGCUGCCCACUUGUCUGGGGACUCAGGGCACCCAGCCCCAGCCCUGAGAGGCAAAACCAGGCCUUUUGGCUCCAUUCUACAGGGGCCCUCCGGGCACCAGGCCUCUUUCAAAGCACGAGCAACUGAUGCCAUGGGAGAACCCCAGCCCACCUGCCCACUCGCCUGGCACUACCCGCUCUGAGACCCAGGCACUGGGUCCCGCUGGAGGUGCCAACUCUGCGAGCCCCUCCCCUGUCCCCCGACGCUGAGAAGGCCCCACCCACCCCCAAACAUGUGUGAGGUGAUGCCCACAAUCAAUGAGGGGGACACCCUGGGGCCCCCCCAUGGCGCCGAUGCCGACGCCAACUUUGAGCAGCUGAUGGUGAACAUGCUGGAUGAGCGGGAGAAGUUGCUGGAGUCCCUGCGGGAGAGUCAGGAGACUUUGGCGGCCACGCAGAGCCGGCUCCAGGAUGCCCUGCACGAGCGGGACCAGCUCCAGCGCCACCUUAACUCUGCCCUCCCCCAGGAAUUUGCCACCCUAACCCGGGAGCUGAGCAUGUGUCGGGAGCAGCUUCUGGAGCGGGAGGAAGAAAUAUCAGAGCUGAAAGCAGAACGGAACAACACCAGGCUGCUUCUGGAACAUCUGGAGUGCCUGGUGUCCCGGCACGAGCGGUCGCUGCGGAUGACUGUGGUGAAGCGUCAGGCCCAGUCCCCGUCGGGGGUCUCCAGCGAGGUGGAGGUGCUGAAGGCCCUCAAGUCGCUGUUUGAGCACCACAAGGCCCUGGAUGAGAAGGUGCGAGAGCGGCUCCGAGCAGCACUGGAGCGAGUAACCACCUUGGAGGAGCAGCUGGCAGGUGCCCAUCAGCAGGUGUCUGCCCUGCAGCAGGGGGCAGGGGUUCGGGAUGGAGUGGCAGAGGAGGAGGGGGCUGUGGAGCUGGGACCGAAACGCCUGUGGAAGGAGGAUGCAGGCCGGGUUGAGGAGCUGCAGGAGCUCCUGGAGAAGCAGAACUUUGAGUUGAGCCAGGCACGGGAGCGACUGGUCAGCCUGACAGCAACUGUGACCGAACUUGAGGAGGACCUGGGCACGGCCCGCCGGGACCUCAUCAAGUCAGAGGAGCUGAGUGGCAAGCAUCAGCGGGACCUCCGGGAGGCUGUGGCCCAGAAGGAGGACAUGGAGGAGCGAAUCACCACCCUGGAGAAGCGCUACCUGGCUGCUCAGCGUGAGGCCACAUCCAUCCAUGACCUCAACGACAAACUGGAGAAUGAGCUGGCCAACAAGGAGUCUCUACACCGCCAGUGUGAGGAAAAGGCCCGACACCUACAGGAACUGCUGGAGGUGGCAGAGCAGAAGCUGCAGCAGACGAUGCGCAAGGCAGAGACGCUGCCGGAGGUGGAGGCUGAGCUGGCCCAGAGAAUUGCAGCCCUCACCAAGGCUGAGGAACGGCAUGGCAGCAUUGAGGAGCACCUGCGGCAGCUGGAGGGGCAGCUGGAGGAGAAGAACCAGGAGCUGGCAAGGGUGCGCCAACGGGAGAAGAUGAACGAGGACCACAACAAGCGGCUGUCGGACACCGUGGACCGGCUGCUUAGCGAGUCAAACGAGCGCCUGCAGCUCCACCUCAAGGAGCGCAUGGCAGCCCUGGAGGAGAAGAACACGUUGAUCCAGGAGUUGGAGAGCUCCCAGCGGCAGAUUGAGGAGCAGCACCACCACAAGGGCCGCCUGUCUGAAGAGAUUGAGAAGCUGCGCCAAGAGGUGGACCAGCUGAAGGGUCGAGGGGGGCCGUUUGUGGAUGGCAUCCACUCCAGGUCCCAUGUGGGCAGUGCAGCAGACGUGCGGUUCUCCCUGAGCACAACCACUCAUGCGCCCCCAGUUCUGCAUCGCCGUCACUCGGCACUGCGGGAAGAGUCUGCCAAGGACUGGGAACCAUCUCCACUGCCUGGGGUACUGGCUCCCACGGCCACCCCUGCCUUUGACAGUGACCCUGAGAUCUCCGAUGUGGAUGAGGACGAACCAGGGGGCCUGGUGGGCUCCAUGGAGGUUGUCUCUCCUAGCGGCCACUCAGAUGCACAGACCCUGGCCAUGAUGUUGCAGGAGCAGCUGGAUGCCAUCAAUGAGGAGAUCAGGAUGAUCCAGGAAGAGAAGGAGUCCACCGAGCUCCGCGCUGAGGAGAUCGAGACACGAGUGACCAGUGGCAGCAUGGAGGCUCUAAACCUGACGCAGCUGCGCAAACGUGGUUCCAUCCCUACCUCUCUGACUGCCCUGUCCCUGGCAAGCGCGUCCCCCCCACUCAGCGGCCGCUCCACACCUAAGCUUACCUCCCGCAGCGCUGCCCAGGACCUGGACCGAAUGGGGGUCAUGACCCUGCCCAGUGACUUAAGAAAGCAUAGGAGGAAGCUGCUGUCGCCAGUGUCUCGGGAAGAGAACCGAGAGGAUAAAGCCACCAUAAAAUGUGAGACUUCUCCUCCUUCCUCACCCAGGACGCUGCGACUAGAGAAGCUUGGCCACCCAGCCCUGAGCCAGGAAGAAGGCAAGAGUUCCUUGGAGGAUCAGGGCAGCAACCCCAGCAGCAGCAACAGCAGCCAGGACUCCUUACACAAGGGUGCCAAGCGCAAGGGCAUCAAGUCAUCCAUCGGCCGACUGUUCGGGAAGAAGGAGAAGGGCAGGCUGAUCCAGCUGAGCCGGGAUGGAGCCACGGGCCAUGUUACGCUAAUAGACUCUGAGCUCAAUCUGCAGGAGCCCUUGGUGCCUGCCAAGCUGGGGACCCAGACAGAGAAGGACCGGCGGCUGAAGAAGAAACACCAGCUGCUUGAAGAUGCCCGCAGGAAAGGAAUGCCCUUUGCUCAGUGGGAUGGGCCUACUGUGGUCUCCUGGCUAGAGCUCUGGGUGGGGAUGCCUGCCUGGUACGUGGCAGCCUGCCGGGCCAACGUCAAGAGUGGUGCCAUCAUGUCUGCCCUGUCGGAUACCGAGAUCCAGCGGGAGAUCGGCAUCAGCAAUGCCCUGCACCGGCUCAAGCUCCGGCUGGCCAUCCAGGAGAUGGUGUCGCUGACCAGCCCCUCAGCCCCACCUACCUCCAGGACUUCUUCUGGGAACGUCUGGGUCACUCAUGAAGAGAUGGAAACUCUAGCAACAUCCACUAAGACAGACAGUGAGGAGGGCAGCUGGGCUCAGACCCUGGCCUAUGGGGACAUGAACCACGAAUGGAUUGGGAACAAGUGGCUGCCCAGCCUGGGGCUCCCCCAGUACCGCAGCUACUUCAUGGAGUGCCUGGUGGAUGCCCGCAUGCUGGAUCACCUCACCAAGAAGGACCUGCGUGUCCACCUGAAGAUGGUAGACAGCUUCCAUCGAACCAGUCUUCAGUAUGGUAUCAUGUGUCUGAAGAGGUUGAAUUAUGAUCGGAAGGAGCUGGAGAAGAGACGAGAGGAGAGUCAGCACGAGAUCAAGGAUGUGCUGGUCUGGACCAAUGACCAGAUGGUUCACUGGGUCCAGUCUAUUGGGCUUCGGGACUAUGCGGGAAACCUGCAGGAGAGUGGCGUGCAUGGUGCCCUGCUGGCCCUGGAUGAGAACUUCGACCACAACACACUGGCUCUGGUCCUCCAGAUUCCCACGCAGAACACUCAGGCACGCCAGGUGAUGGAGAGAGAGUUCAACAACCUGUUGGCCUUGGGGACUGACCGGAAGUUGGAUGACGGAGACGACAAGGUGUUCCGCCGCGCACCCUCCUGGAGGAAACGCUUCCGUCCACGGGACCACCACAGCGGCGGUAUGCUCGGCGCCUCGGCCGAGACCCUCCCCGCAGGCUUCCGCGUGUCCACCCUGGGGCCCUUGCAGCCCCCACCGGCCCCGCCAAAGAAGAUCAUGCCUGAAGCCGGGACGGCGGGGGCGCAGAGACUGGAGACCUCCACGGUUCGGACCUACUCUUGCUGACCCCCUACCCUCCCGCCCCGGGUCUGACGGGGGUGUGCCCGUGGCUCGGGCUCACUCCCACUAUCUCUACGGACACAUGCUCUCCGCCUUUCGGGACUAGCCACGGCCCCCCCAGGGCCAGCUCCUUCCUUCUGGCCUUCACAGGCUCUGCCGACCCAGACCUCUCCUGCUCGUUCCCCUUCCUCCCAUGGCGCCUAGUCUCGUCUGUGACUUUCCAGUUGCCCUGGAUCUCAGAAUAUUCGCGUCCACCCCUUCGGCAUCCCACUACCACUAGUCCCACCCUGUGCCCUUUGUGCCUGGAGGUAUUUGAGACUCAAGUUCUGGAUGGAACCCAGGGCUUCAUCUAAUAAGAGGAGAGAGAAAGCUUCUGGAGCAUGUUUCUUGGAGUGGGGCCAGUGCAAUGCCAUCCUACAGGUGACUGGAGCAGCUGGUUUGCAACCUGCUUCACUUGGGUUCUGAGUGGGGAUUAGGCUAGCAGGUGGGCUAAUGGGUCACAGCACCCUGUCCAGAGGGAGUGAUGGAACCUGGGACAGUGCCAGGGCUUCGGGGCCUUCUGCUAGUUUUCAGUAGAGGAGAGGCCCGCCUGUGGUGGUGUCAGGCAGGCUGUCCUCUAGGCUUGGGCAAGGCAACCACCUGCCCUUAGCCUCUCUCACUGUUCCUGCCCUCUCUGUCAGGCUGCUGGAAAUGGAGCAGGAGCAAAAAAUGAGUUGGUUGGAGAGAAAGAGCUCCCACCCCUGGGUGAUAGAUAUUAAGAUUAUGGAGAAACCCCAGGUUCCUGAUGGUGGACUUUGGGCCCCCAAAGUCAUCUGACUCCUUCCGGGGACUCUUGAUGGGCUAGCUAUAUGGGAGAUUUGGCCUCAGCCUCUCCUCUACAACUUAACUCUAUUAUGGUUUGUCAUGUCAUAAGGCAGCAGCUGGAGGGAUCCAGGUCCGUUCAUGGCAUCUUGGAAAUAUUGCAGGAAGGAGAUGGGGAGGAGAAGUCUGUGCAUACACUAAUGGAAGGCUGUUGUCUUGGUGUAUCCCUUGUCUCAUAGUCAAUAUAUUUUUUAUUUGGAGAGCCUGUCUCACCAGCCUCCUAUAUCUCGUCAGGUCCCUUCUCAGUACUGUACUGACUCAGCAUCAGGAAUGGGUGUGUGGGUGUGUGUGGGUGUGAAUGUGGGUGUGUACGUUCCAAUAAACAACCUGGU